rnacentral:ncRNA from 23 species
CGCUCAUCCAGAGGGGCAGAGGGAACGGCCCGUUGAAGCCCCGGCAACCCUCCCGCCGACCGCGAGGUCACGGUGGGGAAGGUGCCAAUUCCGUCUCGUGGCGAAGUGCGUCACGAGGAAGAUGAGGA